ACUUGCUCUGCUCUUGGACCUGCUUUGCUGUGCAGGCGCCCAGCCUGUGUUCAGGGAACGGACUCCCCUCCCCGCCCCGACAUGCCGCGUGGAUUUGCACCAGCUCCCACCACUGUUGGAGCUCAGGCCCAGACCCGAUCUAGAGAAGGAAGCCGGGCACUGCUCCCAGGGGCCCUGAGUCCUGGGACCCUGAGUCCUGGGACCCUAAGUCCUGGAGUCUUGAGUCCUGCUCCCCCCCCCCCCCCCCCCCCCCGCUCUGGGUGUCUUAUGUCCUGGGGCCUUGCGUCUUGGGGUCUUGGCCGGAUGGUUCUGCCCAGUUCUCACUGCACCUGCUCGGCCAGAGCCUCGGGACUCUGACGCUCUCUCCCAGCCAGCCGGAGCCCUCAGUCCCACCAAGCAUCCUGAAAGUCAUCUGAAAUCAGGACAUCGCCUGCCUGCACAGGCAUGGGCCUUAUGGAGUUUGGGUUGAGUGAAGGCUGGCCUGCAUCUUGUCACCGGAAACCAGCUAGGGAAGUUCUGAAUGCCUAAAGCCUGCAGUAAAUGACUUUAGCAAAGUAGAGCCUUCAUGAAGGUUUCAACCUUCGGGAGAGAAACAAAUUGACAGAGAAAAGGGAAAUAGAAGAGAAUGAGAGACAUUUGCAGACCUACCUCACACCUCACUAAGUGUCUGCCCUGCAGGUGGGGAGCAGCUUGAACCCAGGUCCUUGAACAUGGUAUAAUAUAUGCUCAGCCAGGUGCUCCAUCAGUUGGACCCAAAAAAGAAUUCUGCCAAGCUCUGCCUUGCACCCCUCUCCUACAGGACAUCUGGCCCUUCUAACAUCAGGUCUCUUAAUGCCUUGACAGACCUCACCGGUGACUCAGACCUUUUCCAGCCCUAGCCUCAUCUCUUCACACAGGAGUCACCAGCCUGGAGGAAGCACAGUGGAGUUGUGCUGUGGCUGGAGGAGGAUAUAUCACUUCUCUCCUCCUGGUUCCUUUCCACCUGCAGAGCGUUGUCACCUUUCCUAAGAAUACAGCCUUUGAAGUUUGCUCCUUAGUUUUUUAGCAAGUUGGUAGCUGAGCCCCUUGAACUCAGAGUCCUGAUGAAGAAGCCUGUGAAGACUCUUUAGGACAUGUGUUUGGCUUGCUCACUGUAUGCCAGACAAGGACUUAACAGCAAUUUGGAAAGAAGCACAGUGACAGAAGUAAUUCAGUGCAGUGACUGGUAUAAAUCAUACUGUCCUCAUGUUCAGCAUUUUCUACUGAAACCACAACUAAAGUUUAAGACUGCAUAGCAACUUUUGCCAUGAGUCCUCUAAGAAAACAAGGUAUCAAGAUUUCAUCAUGUUUUACUAACUAUCUUUCUCUAAUAAACAACUGUGCCCUGUUCGUUAUAA